GACGAACGCUGGCGGCGUGCCUAAUACAUGCAAGUAGAACGCUGAAGGAGGAGCUUGCUUCUCUGGAUGAGUUGCGAACGGGUGAGUAACGCGUAGGUAACCUGCCUGGUAGCGGGGGAUAACUAUUGGAAACGAUAGCUAAUACCGCAUAAUAUUGACCAUUGCAUGAUAGUCAGUUGAAAGGUGCAACUGCACCACUACCAGAUGGACCUGCGUUGUAUUAGCUAGUUGGUGGGGUAACGGCUCACCAAGGCGACGAUACAUAGCCGACCUGAGAGGGUGAUCGGCCACACUGGGACUGAGACACGGCCCAGACUCCUACGGGAGGCAGCAGUAGGGAAUCUUCGGCAAUGGACGGAAGUCUGACCGAGCAACGCCGCGUGAGUGAAGAAGGUUUUCGGAUCGUAAAGCUCUGUUGUAAGAGAAGAACGAGUGUGAGAGUGGAAAGCUCACACUGUGACGGUAUCUUACCAGAAAGGGACGGCUAACUACGUG
rnacentral:rRNA from 1 species